GGUCGCUGGAGGUCCUGGAUUAUCCUUCAGGGUCUGUACUUCCUCGUGAAUCCUGCGGCUUCCUGUGCCGGGCUGUGCUCCCACGUUGCUCCGCUGCUCCGCUCGGAGGAUCAAUGAGCACACAGACAAAACCCCCGGAGUA